rnacentral:rRNA from 1 species
CACGUAGGGGGCGAGCGUUGUCCGGAUUUAUUGGGCGUAAAGAGCUCGUAGGCGGCUAAGUAAGUCAGGUGUGAAACCUCCAGGCUCAACCUGGAGACGCCACCCGAUACUGCUGUGACUAGAGUCCGGUAGGGGAGCGUGGAAUUCCUGGUGUAGCGGUGAAAUGCGCAGAUAUCAGGAGGAACACCAGCGGCGAAGGCGGCGCUCUGGGCCGGAACUGACGCUGAGGAGCGAAAGCGUGGGGAGCAAACAGG